GUACCCAUAGCUCAGUUGGCAGAGCAUUCGCCUAGACAGCGAAAGGUCCCCAGUUCCAGCCUGGGUGGAGACA
rfam:Phlebotomus papatasi Contig440.3, whole genome shotgun sequence.